UGGACAGAUUAUUGUAUUCGAUUGUAUUCACGGCGUAAAACAGGGGAUUACACUGUUUUUAAACGGAAAGUGAAUCAAUUAACAUAAUAGACUCCU
rfam:Nicotiana attenuata strain TT chromosome 2, whole genome shotgun sequence.